CCUACGGGUGGCAGCAGUGGGGAAUCUUGGGCAAUGGGCGCAAGCCUGACCCAGCAACGCCGCGUGAAGGAAGAAGGCUUUCGGGUUGUAAACUUCUUUUGACAGGGAAGAGCAGAAGACGGUACCUGUCGAAUAAGCCACGGCUAACUCCGUGCCAGAAUCCGCGGUAAUAGGUAGGUGGCAAGCGUUGUCCGGUUUUAAUGGGUGUAAAGGGCGUGUAGCCGUGCUGACGAGUCAGAUGUGAAUCCGGGGGCUCAACCCACGAACUGCAUUUGAAACUGGUGGUCUUGAGUAUCGGAGAGGCAGGCGGAACUCCUAGUGUAGCGGUGAAAUGCGUAGAUAUAAGGAGGAACACCAGUGGCGAAGGCGGCCUGCUGGACGACAACUGACGGUGAGGCGCGAAAGCGUGGGGAGCAAACAGGAUUAGAUACCCCUGUAGUC
rnacentral:rRNA from 1 species